rnacentral:misc_RNA from 1 species
GAUGAAGAACGUAGCGAAAUGCGAUAAGUAAUGUGAAUUGCAGAAUUCAGUGAAUCAUCGAAUCUUUGAACGCACCUUGCGCUCCUUGGUAUUCCGAGGAGCAUGCCUGUUUGAGUGUCAUUAAAUUCUCAACCUCACCAGUUUUGUAACGAGACAGGUGAAGGCUUGGAUGUGGGGGUUUUGCAGGCUGCCUCAGUGCUGGUCUGCUCUCCUGAAAUGCAUUAGCGAGCUCAUAUUGAGCUUCCGUCUAUUGGUGUGAUAAUUAUCUACGCCGUGGAUUGGACUCAUGCUUGCUUCUAACCGUCCGCAAGGACAAUUUACUUGACCAAUUUGACCUCAAAUCAGGUAGGACUACCCGCUGAACUUAAGCAUAUCAAUAAGCGGAGGA